rnacentral:rRNA from 1 species
ACGGAAGGCAGCAGUGGGGAAUAUUGGGCAAUGGGGGCAACCCUGACCCAGCAACGCCGCGUGAAGGAAGAGGGCUUUCGGGUUGUAAACUUCUUUGACGAGGGACGAAGUAAAUGACGGUACCUCGAAAACAAGCCACGGCUAACUACGUGCCAGCAGCCGCGGUAAUACGUAGGUGGCGAGCGUUGUCCGGAUUUACUGGGUGUAAAGGGCGCGUAGGUGGGUGUGCAAGUCAGAUGUGAAAUGCCAAGGCUUAACCUUGGAGCUGCAUUUGAAACUGUGCAUCUUGAGUAUCGGAGGGGCAAGCGGAAUUCCUAGUGUAGCGGUGAAAUGCGUAGAUAUUAGGAGGAACACCAGUGGCGAAGGCGGCUUGCUGGACGACAACUGACACUGAGGCGCGAAAGCGUGGGGAGCAAACAGGAUUAGAUACCCUGGUA